rnacentral:rRNA from 1 species
ACGAACGCUGGCGGCAUGCCUAACACAUGCAAGUCGAACGAGACCUUCGGGUCUAGUGGCGCACGGGUGCGUAACGCGUGGGAACCUGCCCUUAGGUUCGGAAUAACUCCCCGAAAGGGGUGCUAAUACCGGAUAAUGUCUUCGGACCAAAGAUUUGUCGCCUUUGGAUGGGCCCGCGUUGGAUUAGCUAGUUGGUAGGGUAAAAGCCUACCAAGGCGACGAUCCAUAGCUGGUCUGAGAGGAUGAUCAGCCACACUGGGACUGAGACACGGCCCAGACUCCUACGGGAGGCAGCAGUGGGGAAUAUUGGACAAUGGGCGAAAGCCUGAUCCAGCAAUGCCGCGUGAGUGAUGAAGGCCUUAGGGUUGUAAAGCUCUUUUACCCGGGAUGAUAAUGACAGUACCGGGAGAAUAAGCUCCGGCUAACUCCGUG